GCCGCCCUCCUGGGGUGCCUCUCAGGGACCCAGGCGCUCAGCUGCUGGGGCCGCGGAGGGCGUUCGCGGGGCGCCGGGGAAGGCUAGGGCCGCGGGGUCCCCGGGGCGCCGUCCCCAACCGCCGACGCCUGCCAGACCACCAAGUGGGGGCCAUGUCGACGUGUGAGGAGCCUGGUGGAAGGUGAUACUGGAAUUCCGGCACUGGGCCUGCAACCCUUUUAGUCCACAGUUGUCAGAAUCUAAAGGGAAGAAAAACGAAGUGCUCAGAACCCUCACAGAAGCCGGGCACCUCAUCCCGUGUGUGGGUUUUUUCCCCAGUACAAACCCAUUGUGGGGACAGGCGCUUUUGAAGAAAAAAUUCAGAUUCCCGGGCUGAAGUGGCUCCUCACAGCCUUGAACCUGACCCCCAGCUUCCCGCUAAAGCCGAGCGUGCCCAGCACGGCGAGGUCAGCAGAGGCCCCUCGGAGGGCGGCCGGGGGAGGUCAGUGGGAGGCCCUCGGGCAGCCGGUGGAUGGGCCGGCGACCUCCCCGACUCCAUCAGAAGCGCUCAGUCUGUGCCCUUCAGUUACUGGAGCAGCUCCCGUCCUUUGGCCAGUUCUCUGGAAGGUCGUUUCCGUUUCUGUGUCUGCCACACGUGCAGCACAAUCGAAAAACCUUGUUCGACAUUUCUAGAAAGAGUAGAUGCUACUGAAGACCCAAUAGAUUGCUGAGGGUUUUCAGAGCAGGGACAAUUGCAUCAGGGUGCUGGGCUCCGGGAAGAACUCAGAGGACUUGGCUGACGGGCGGAUGGGACAGUGAUUGGUGCCGAGAAUGGGCCAGAGAAGCAGGUCUGCCUGGAGCAGGCACCCGAGGCCGCGUGCAGGGGCGGUCCUGGGCCACCAACCCCUGGAAGCUGGGCCAGGAGCUUCGGAGCCAUCCGAGGCUUUUUUCGCUCCUCUCACUCUCAUGCACCUAGUUACCCUCCCCACAGAGUCUUCUCACGGCGCGGUUUUCGGCUACCAUUGCAGUGGUGUCUGACUACACCCAGUGCCUCUAUCGUUCCCCCCUCAGUCUGUUCUCGCUUCUUGGCAAACCUGUCCUUGGAAAGCCCUCUGCUGACUCCUGUUACCCUGAUCAAAUGCAUCCUCCUCAGGAGGCUCGUGAGCCCUUUGCAGGGUGGCCCAAGAGGCAUCACGCCCUGCUCUCCAGCCACUCUUGGGGUCCCCUACAGGGCCAGGCGUCCCACACCAGCAGCGGGUGCUGGUCCUGCCACAGUCUGUGCGACACGUGAAUGAAGGCUGUAGACCUGUGGUCUGCGGGAGGCAAAUUCCAACUCCAGCUGUCAAACAUAAGGGGACUGGUAGGCUCUCCAGGGUGGAUUGUCUCACGGCAUCCAGAGGCAGGGACCGAGGCAGGGACCUAGCCAGGCCUCGGGAAGGAGCUGCAAACCCAGGAGCUCUGGGGUGUGGCUUCAUCUCCCUCCCUCCCUACCACCCUACCCCCAUCUCUCCGUGUUCUUCAGAUGCCUCAUUUUCCUGUCAGGCACCUGGCCAGCUCUAGGAGCUGGAAUCAGGUUGGUGCCUCCUUGGUCAGUGUCCACCCCUAGUGUCAUCCACAGUGACCAACGGAAGGGGUGGCCGGUGGUACAGGACAUUGGCCAUCUUGGGAAAGAUCACAGAGACAGGAAGGGCCUCUCCAGCUGAGCAGAUGAGAGGUUCUUCAGUGGUCUGGACACAUUUGCCCACUCAUGGCCGUCCCCCUGCCCUGUUGAGAGAACCGAUGAGGAAAGGGAGCCCUGCAUCUGUCGCCUUCCGACUCCGACCGCCUGAGGCUGGGCUGCCGGCAAGCCGCGGCAGCAUAUGACAGCACUUGAAAGAAAGUCCCUGGAAAGAAUGUGGAUCAUUGCAGAACUCCCUCAAGAAAGCGCCAGAGGAGGACCCCAUUCAGCACCCCGCAGAACUCCUCAAACUCCUGCGUCCACACUCCCCCAGCGUGGUGGCUGCUUCUAUCUCCCCAGGCUUAGCUGGCCUGGGUCUUGAAGGCCUCUCCUCCUGCUGUCCCCACGCAGCAUCCUCUCUGCCACUGCACAGCUGGAUGCAGUGAAGGCCAGGCGGCUGUGGCUGCUUGGGCAACAGGAGCUGCUUGACCCUGUUCUGCUGGCCUUGUUGGCCUCACUCCCGUAGAGAGCCAAGGUUACCCACGUCUCUGAAGCUAAGGCUUUCUUUCUAGGCCUGGGGGAGUCACAUCUUGCAUUCGUACUCACUGAGCUCCACGUCUAUGGUUAGAGAAUUUAUCAACAUUUUAUAAUGCUUUUAUCAAUUCCAUCAUUUGAGGGCCCUCUGGCAAGGAACCUGUUAGUACAUGGAGUGCCUGGAAUGUUCCAGAAAGCUAACAUGAACAGCUGGCCCUUGCUGUCCUUAUACAUUGAGGACUCCAAAGGCCACUCAGGAUGACAGGAAAUGCAGGCUCCAAAAGAUUCGGUUCCUUUGUGAGGCCCUCGGGCAGUGGUCAGACACGAAGGAAAUAGGAAAUCACCCCCAAACCACACCUCUCCCUAUGAGGCCACAGCUGCCGAUGCAGCCUUGGGAGGGGGAUGGAGGGAGAGAGGAGGGCAUCUGAAUGUGGACACACCCUGCUGUGAGGGCUGUGGGCGGUCCUGAGACUGGAGCCAGCCCCCAGGCUCAGCUCAGCUCGGGGACCUCGUGCCCGGGCUUUCCUGGGGAGGAAGGUGUUGGAUCUCCUGCCUCUCUGUAUUCAUUCACACUUUGGGUUUCUCUCUCUUCCGCGCAUUCUAACAUCUGCAGGAUUUUUUUUUUUUUUUUUUUUUUUUUGAGACAGAGUCUCGCUCUGUUGCCCAGGCUGGAGUGGAGUGGUGCGAUCUCAGCUCGCUGCAAGCUCCGCCUCCUGGGUUCACGCCAUUCUCGUGCCUCAGCCUCCAGAGUAACUGGGACCACAGGCGCCCGCCACGACGCCCAGCUAAUUUUUUGUAUUUUUAGUAGAGACGGGGUUUCACCGUGUUAGCCAGGAUGGUCUCGAUCUCCUGACCUUGUGAUCCGCCCGCCUCGGCCUCCCAAAGUGCUGGGAUUACAGGCGUGAGCCACCGGGCCUGGCACAUCUGCAGGAUUUAUGGAUGAAGGGCCACAAACCCACAUUUGGUCUCAUUCAACAGAUGUUGUGUCGGCAGGGCGAGGUGGGACUCUGUCUCUGCCCACGCUACCUGCCCCUGGGGUUGUAGUUCUAGGAAAGCAAGUCUCAGACUGAGUUUUGAUCUGGAUUAAAUUCUGUCCCAGGUGCAGAUAUUUAUAGGAAAGCAGGGACAAGAGCCCUCAGGCAAAGCUGGGUAUCCUGCGAUGGGUGCCUCUGGGAGUUCGCAGAUAACAAGGCCUUUUCCUGGAGGCAAAGCAGAAGCGUUCUGUGGCAGACCAGUCAGCUUUCUAGCAGGUCAGGGGCAGGGACAUCUAGGCCCAAGGUGUCACACCGUGCCUGGCUGCUGGCUCUCCUCUUGCAAGGACACAGCUCUUACAGGACUUCCUAGCCCACCCAAGAACAUCUUUCCAUCAUCGAAAAGUUAUUGAUAAGAUUUUUCCAUCACUGAAAAGUUAUUGAUAAGUGCCACCAUGUGCAUGAGCAGCCCUCCAGGUGCUGGCUUGUGGGCCGGUGUUUGAGAAUCUUGCCAGUUGAAUGUGGGCAUCUGUUGAGGGUUUCCCAAAGGCUAACCGUUCGUGCCAGAGGGAGGCCGUGGCUCAUUCCUAGGGCCCUGGGUGAGACUGGGGCUCAUGCACACACAGGUAUCGAUGGCAUGGGCUGUAACGAGCUGAGUGCCUGCUGCCCUUUCCUAGUGGGGGGGGUGGGCUCCUGGAGAAAGAGGGGAGGCUGCUACUCUCCAGGGCCACAGGGAGCCCAGAACGCCACCUCCUGGUGUCAGCAGCAGCAAAUCCAUAUAAGUCUGCAGCAACUUAGCUUUUGCCUCCUCAGAGGAAAUAAUUCAUCCAGGGGGCACAAGGCAGGGUCAGAGACUGAGGUAAGUUUCAGAGCAAGAGUGAAAGUUUAUUAAAAAAGUGUUAGAGCAGGAACGAAAGGAAAUAAAGUACACUUGGAGGAGGGCCAGGUGGGCAUCUUGAGAGAGCAAGUACACGGUUUUGACCUUUGACUUGGGGUUUAUAUCUUGGCAUGCUUCUGGGGGCUGCGUCCCUUCUCCCCUGAUUCUUCCCUUGGGGUGGGCUGUCCGCAUGCGCAGUGGCCUGCCGACACUUGGGAGGGCCGCGUGCACAGUGUGCUUACUGGAGUUGUGCGGUGCCCUCUUGAGGCAGUCUUCCCUUACCAGUUCCUAGGGGAAGGUCACACGCUGGUUAAACUUUGCCACUUUGCCUCGUAGUGUGCAUGCUUGACCUCACUCACCAACUCCUGAGAUUUUUUUUAAAUUUUUUAAUUUAAGUUCUAGGGUACAUGUACACAACGUGCAGGUUUGUUACAUAGGUAUGCAUGUGCCAUGUUGGUUUGCUGCAUCCAUUAACUCGUCAUUUACAUUAGGUAUUUCUCCUAAUGCUAUCCUUCCCACCCCACGACAGGCCCUGGUGUGUGAUGUUGCCCGCACUGUGUCCAAGUGUUCUCAUUGUUCAAUUCCCACCUGUGCCAACUCCUGGGAUCUUAUCGGGAAGUGGCUCAUCAUCAGCUUUAGGUGUUUUCUAUCUAUUGGGAGCCUGCCUUUCUCUGGCACCAGCUGCAACCAAUAAUUAUUUUAGACAGUUUAACAACAGCUUGACCAUCACCUGAUGAUCACCUGACAUUUCUGUUGGGGCGCGGGCCCAUCUCCUGCCCCGCUCAUGUGGGGCUCAGUCUGCCCAACCUUUCCCCAAGGGCCUGUCUUUACUUCAUUUGUGGUAAGCCCCAAGCAGAAUGGACUCUUGUUAUGAUCCCAGGAACUGCUCACGGCCACCUCUGUGGAUGAACACCUAGCGGCUGCUCUAAAUACAUGCUGUGAAAGUUGUCAGAAUCAAAAUGGAGUCACUAAUGUUAAGAAAGCCCUGACAAAGAGUUGGUGGGGAAGGCCACGAAGAGAGGACACUUAUGCUUGCAUGCCUGAUACCAGAAAGGACUACAAAAACCACAGCCCGGCACAGAGGCCAUCACACCCUUACACAAAAAAUAUUUCUGCAAGGACAACUGCCCAGCAAUUGCCUGUCCAACCUCAGACUGGAAUGACCUUUGUUAUUGAUGUUUGUAGCCAAGGAGAAUUAUCUCAAAACCACUGUGAUCCUGCUCGCUUUUCCUUUAAAGACCUUUGUCUUCCUUGACCUCCCUGAAUAGGCAUAUGGUUUACUAUGGCGUGUGUACUCUCCUUGUAAUGUUCUGUUCUCAAGCUAACAUCUAUUCUUCUAGAGAACCUCUCUCUUAGGCUGACAACGCUGUGGAUCUGGGCUCCCAGGAACUGGGGCUGACAUCAGAGGGGUGGAAAGAGAACAGCAGCUCUCCCUGAGGGGAUGCUUGCCAAGGAUAAGGAGACGAUGGUUCUCUAAGGAUUAUUUUAUAUUCAUCUAAAAGGGUAUUUUUGUUGUUACCCCUAGCCUUUUUUCCCUUUUAAUUUUCUGAUGAAUAAUUUAUAUAAAGAAAACCCAUUCUAAGUGUGCAAUUCUAUGAGUUUUGACAAAUGUCUUCACCCAUGCAAAUCCUGUUACAACGGAGAUAUAGAACAUUUCCAUUACUUAAAAACAGCCAGGUGCUGUAGCUCAUGCCUGUA
rnacentral:lncRNA from 1 species